rfam:Ovis aries breed Texel chromosome 12, whole genome shotgun sequence.
UCCCUGGUGGUUCAGACAAUAGAGAAUCUGCCUGCAAUGCAGGAGACCCAGGUUCAAUCCCUGGAUUGGGAA